rfam:Felis catus isolate Cinnamon breed Abyssinian chromosome A1, whole genome shotgun sequence.
GCCUGGGUGGCUCAGUUUGUUAAGCAUCUGACUUCAGCUCAGGUCAUGAUCUCACAGUUUGUGAGUUUGAACCCCACAUCGGGCU